AGUCGUAACAAGGUUUCCGUAGGUGAACCUGCGGAAGGAUCAUUGUCGUGACCCUGACCAAAACAGACCGCGCACGAGUUAUCUAGCCCGCUGGGCGGCGGCAUCGUCCGUUGCUUGGCAAAAGUCCUCGACAACCUCAUCUUUUCGGAGUUGGGGCUCGGGGUAAAAGAACCCACGGCGCCGAAGGCGUCAAGGAACACUGUGCCUAACGAGGGGAUGUGGCUGGCUUGCUAGCCGCACCCCGAGUUGCAAUUCUAUAUAAUCCACACGACUCUCGGCAACGGAUAUCUCGGCUCUC
rnacentral:misc_RNA from 1 species